GACGAACGCUGGCGGCGUGCUUAACACAUGCAAGUCGAACGGAAAGGCCCUGCUUUUGUGGGGUGCUCGAGUGGCGAACGGGUGAGUAACACGUGAGUAACCUGCCCUUGACUUUGGGAUAACUUCAGGAAACUGGGGCUAAUACCGGAUAGGAGCUCCUGCUGCAUGGUGGGGGUUGGAAAGUUUCGGCGGUUGGGGAUGGACUCGCGGCUUAUCAGCUUGUUGGUGGGGUAGUGGCUUACCAAGGCUUUGACGGGUAGCCGGCCUGAGAGGGUGACCGGCCACAUUGGGACUGAGAUUACGGCCCGACUCCGACGGGAGGCAGCAGUGGGGAAUAUUGCACAAUGGGCGGAAGCCUGAUGCAGCCACGCCGCGUGCGGGAUGAAGGCCUUCGGGUUUUAAACCGCUUUCGCCUGUGACGAAGCCUGAGGGACGGGAAUGGGUAAAGAAGCACCGGCUAACUACGUG
rnacentral:rRNA from 1 species